rnacentral:rRNA from 1 species
GCUCCUAUGGGACGCAGCAGUGGGGAAUAUUGCACAAUGGGCGCAAGCCUGAUGCAGCGACGCCGCGUGCGGGAUGGAGGCCUUCGGGUUGUAAACCGCUUUUGUUCAAGGGCAAGGCACGGUCUUUGGCCGUGUUGAGUGGAUUGUUAGAAUAAGCACCGGCUAACUACGUGCCAGCAGCCGCGGUAAUACGUAGGGUGCAAGCGUUAUCCGGAUUUAUUGGGCGUAAAGGGCUCGUAGGCGGGUCGUAGCGUCCGGUGUGAGAGUCCAUCGCUUAACGGUGGAUCCGCGGCGGGUAGGGGCGG